rnacentral:rRNA from 1 species
GAUGAACGCUGGCGGCGUGCCUAAUACAUGCAAGUCGAGCGAACAGACGAGGAGCUUGCUCCUUUGACGUUAGCGGCGGACGGGUGAGUAACACGUGGGUAACCUACCUAUAAGACUGGGAUAACUUCGGGAAACCGGAGCUAAUACCGGAUAAUAUUUCGAACCGCAUGGUUCGAUAGUGAAAGAUGGCUUUGCUAUCACUUAUAGAUGGACCUGCGCCGUAUUAGCUAGUUGGUAAGGUAACGGCUUACCAAGGCAACGAUACGUAGCCGACCUGAGAGGGUGAUCGGCCACACGGGAACUGAGACACGGUCCAGACUCCUACGGGAGGCAGCAGUAGGGAAUCUUCCGCAAUGGGCGAAAGCCUGACGGAGCAACGCCGCGUGAGUGAUGAAGGUCUUCGGAUCGUAAAACUCUGUUAUUAGGGAAGAACAAACGUGUAAGUAACUGUGCACGUCUUGACGGUACCUAAUCAGAAAGCCACGGCUAACUACGUG